UUGGCAUUCAUCCAGACUGAGUCUAUGGGGAAAAAGAGAAAAUUAUAUUUAAUUUUAGCUUGCGUGGUUUCCUCCUUUCAAAAAUCUACUUGAAUGUGCAAUAAAGUAACCUAUCUCUUUUUCCUUCUGCUUGCACGGGGACUAAGUAUCUUGUUGCGAACAGAUGGCGUGAAGGCAGGUUGAGAUGUGAAUGCUCUUUCUCUCCCCACUAUUGCUGUGUGGCCACGUAACUGACAAAAAGAGCGCUGUAUUUUCCUUUUUCUCCUUUUCCUCAGUGUUUUUCAGGUACUUCUUCAGUAUGUUGGCUGGAAGUAACAGCCAGGAAACGGGAGCUACAGGAACUGCCCGUAAACUGCUUUUUGUGGCUCUAUAUCUGGUCCAGCUCCAUUGGGAUGCUCACUGGGACUGCACUGGGACUUGAGGGAACUUCUCCUCCCUUCUGCCCUCAAGCUGCUGAGAUUUUCUUGAGCUUUUCUUGCACUGUGGAGCAACAGUUCCUUUCUACCUCAUUCAUGCAGGUGGUCAUGCAAAAAUAAAUAAAAAGUGGCCACUGUAACUGAAUAAUUACUUCAAGAGUGACGACUCAUAAAUUCAUUCUGGAAGGUGAAGGAGUGAGACAUUGGUGUCAUCCAGGAUUGUGUCAGAGGAAGAAGGGCAAGAAGUCCUCCUACACAAAAUGGGGUCUUUGCAGAGGGUAAGUACACGAUGGGGAAAACCCCUGGGCGGUGGGUGGAAGGCUUUAGAGCUGCUGUUUAUCUGCGCUGCGUCAACAUCAAUUGCACCGCACCGGUGUAGUUUUCCAGUCAGCCCCCUGCCAAGGCCACCGGCAGAUAAAUAGGAAGCAUCAUGUUCUGGCUUGUGAAUAAAAGGAAAAUGUUUGGAAGCGCUGCUCUACAAAUUGAGUUUAUUGCAUUGCCAGGAAGUUAUCUAGAGGCUUUUGGAGACCGACUCAGAAACAGGAAAUUAAUCAAAAGCAUUUUAGAGUGGCUCCUUGGCCACUGAGUGCUCUACUGCUUAUUUAUACCACUGAACUAUGGCUAUUUAGCCUGGUUAAGGGUCUGCUCGGAUGUCACGUAUUAGCCACUGCCAGAGCAAGUGAUCUUUUUGCACUGUACAUUAAGAACAGAACAAAAAGAUGGAAAUUCCCAUUUCCCAAAUGUGGUCCAAAUAAACCUCUGUGCUCUUGUUAAACCAGCUGUGUUGAAGAGGAGUGAUUAUGGCAGGCUUUUUUUUUUUUUUUUUAACCUGCACCUGUCUCUCCUUCUGCAGCUGAGGAUGUGCUGGAAACCAAUUUCCCUGUAGACCAGAGUGGGUAAAAGCUUCAGGGUCACGAAGCCCUUUAAUACUACCGCUGCUGUUACGGGUAGCAGAACAGAGCCUCGGUGACAUCCAUUGCAGCAUUUCAUUCUUUGAAGAGGCAGUACCAGAUCUGACCUUGGCCCUGACAGGAGAAUAGACCUCACUGCUGUCUGCAUCCAGGGUAAGGACUCUGUCAUCUAGGAAACAACUUAUCUGUCAUGUCUUGCUGGAAGUUCUGGGUAUCAUUUUUUACUGUAAUUCUCACUGCAAGUUUUGUUUACUUUUGUGCAUUUCUAAGCAUUCCUUAGACCUUAUCCUGGUCCACCUGGAAAUGCAUCAUAUCCACUGUCUCAGCCCCCCGUGCACGUAAAAUAGGGUAGAAAUAAGUAAGUACUUAUUUUCUGGAGUAAUUAGAGACAGGGGUUUCGAGAGUCUGCCCACUAAGAUGGUUCAGCCCAAGUCAUUGGUUAACAACCCAUAGUUCUUUCAGCUGUGGAAUUCUCCCACUGUCAAGUAGGUUUCUGAAAUUUCCUUAGGAAGAGCAGCUGCUGGGAACAAAAACAAAUACGGUUGAAGAUUUAAUUAUUUGCUGUCAGAUUGUGCAUGGACUUGCUUAUUUACUUACACCACAAUUUUGUAAUCAUUAAGCCUCCAUUCAUCAGCUGGCACUGUUCUUAACAAGACUCCAGAAAAGUUUCAGCUGCAAGUUAGGCACUGAUUAGUUUCCUAGUUGGGAUACACCACAAGCUCUGCUGUAAUCAAAACUGCUUGACCCUGUGCAGGAACAGUAGCAAGUAUUUCAUAACUUAGUAUUAUUUAAACUCAUAGCUAACCUGGAAGAAUAGUAGCAAGGUUUUAAUCAAUAGUAACAAUAGCUUUGUGCUUGCUAACCAGUAUCAUCUCUUGUUCAGUAGCAGUCACAGUCUGCGAUAGAAUCACACUACCAUUAGUGUCCAAAGUGGAUACUGCAUGGAAAAAAAAUGUAAAAGAUACCCUAGACCCCUAGCUAUUUUUAAGGGCUCUUAAUUACUCUUUUGAGAGCUAGGUUAAAGGAAGUUGCAGGCUCUCAUGGAAGCAUUCACACCAACAGCAGUAUGUCACAUUUCUAGCAAGACAGAACAAAGUUAAGGCUUCUGUGAAACAGGAACAAUUUUGAUCUGCUCUUCAUUUAUUUUUAAGCUACUAGUUUAAACAGAAUGUAGUGAUAACGUUUGUAUAAUAUGUGCCAGAAUGACUGUUCUUUGUCAGAAGAAUAGGACAGAAAACAAGCCAUCCCACUUCUUAUUUUAAAGACUAGGCCAUAGACAUGAAAGGGCUCUGCCCACUUACAGGUACCAUUGACUAUCUACAACAGAAGAAACUGGUAACCUAGAGGAAAAAGAGCUUUGAAUAGAAUCGCAAGACUGGUAAGGACAAGAUCAUCUAGUCCAACUGACCUCCCAUAGCCAUUAUUACCCACUAAACUACUAAACCAUAUCUUGUAGCAAAACCAUACCUCAUAGCAAAAUUAGCAGCAAGCGAGACAGUUAAGGAGCACAUAUACUCUCUUCCUUUCUUCUAAAUGGGGCUUCCAGUCAAGCUUCCCAUAGCUUCUUUUAAUUCUGCACAGAGAAGAUUUUUCUAGUACUGUUAUUUAAGACUUUACUUUCGUUCUAUUUUCAGGUCUUAUUGAAGCAGAACAGCAAUGUUGGUCUUCAGCAGCUGUGGAAAACAACAAAGAUCAUAAAGCCAGUCUCCAGGCAACAUAACUCUCACAGAAGCAACAGCUCCAGUCUACCUUUCCACCAGCCAAGAGCAAGGCUUCGGGGCUGGUGAGCACAGGCUGAUGGCUUUUCAUUCCUGCCUAGUGUCGCAGUUGCUUUGCCUAGUAAGCAGGUUGAGCCUUACAGCGCAAGCUCUAAACUCACAUCCACAGCGAGUAAGACGGCACCGGAACUUGGCUUUGCUUGUUGAGGAAGAGAAACUUAGAGUCAGAUUCACACUCAAUCACAGAUUCGUAGGGGCUGGAAGGGACCUCUGAAAAUCACGGUGUCUGAGUCCCUGCAAAAGCAGGUUCCCUACAGCCAACUGCACAGGUAGGUGGCCAGAUGGGUCUUGAAUAUACCCGGAGUAGGAGACUCCGUAACCUCAGCACCUCUGUUUCAGAGCCCCGUCACUCUCACGUUAAAGAAGUUCUUCCUUGAAGAUGAGAAGGCAAGGAAAGAGUGGUUGCAACACCAAAGUUCAAAGAUAAGCAUUGCUCUCUGCACCUCCGUGUUAGGGUCAGAAGAGUAUGUGACGGUGCUCCUGCAAAAGUUUGCAUCCAGACUGAACCGGAGGGCAGAAGCCCCUACGCUCUUUGUGUGGUCUUGUGAUCUGGACCUAACACGGAUGACGCUCAUAAACUGCAGUCCCUACAGGGGUGUUUCCCUGGCCUAUUAAAAUAAAUAAAUAAAUAAAUAAACAAAAUAAUAAUAAAUAAAUUAAAAAGAACAAGGAAAUUAUAUGAACCACUAUUUCUCUCCACUGCCAUCUAGUGAAGUUAUCAUGCUGCAUAAAUUAAGGCUUUGACACUCUCAGCUGAGCUUUAAAACAGCUAACCGUAUCUUAGUGGCCUAUGAGACUUUGUGCAGGAAAUGGAGUUUGAGUGUAACGUGGGUAAUAUCCUUAGGAUAAUAGCAAAAGGAACAAAGUAAACUAGGUAGAUUAAGUUGAAUUGUGGAGUUCUAACAACGAUUAUGACUAUAAAGACACUCAGAAGGGUUUUGAAUAAAGCAGGGACCAAACGUCUGCAGGCUGGCAGUGAUUUAAACUCAGGCUAUUCUUUCUUUGCAGAAAGAAAACAGGUUUCCUGGGGAUGAAAACAAAGUAAGUUCAGAAUUAGAAACGUAUCUCUCCUGACAACUGUGCGCUUUCUGUUUUGUAAACUGUCCUAAAAGAUUUCAAACUUCGGAUUUAGUUGCUGUUACUUCUGGAAACGUGCGGACGGUUUAUCUUCAGACGGAUCAUCCCUUUAUUCAGGUCUGAAAGGGACCUCGGAAGUUCUUUACGCAUUGCUCUGCACCAAAUCGAGCUCAUAAUUACUCCGUUCCAUCUCUUCAAAGAUGCAGUCGACCAAGAAUCUUUUCAGCCUCUGAUCUUUCCCAAUCCACUUUUCUUGUCUCAUUUGUCAGCCUGCAUCUUUAGUGGCGAGUUUGUAUCCUCGUGUCCACAGAGUGACCUUUAUCAAAAUCCUCACUGAAGUUCCUCGGCCUACAAUUUAAAUAAUAUGUGAAAAAACAUCUAUGUUUCCCCUGUGCCAAAAGAUGAGUUGACGGGGAAGAAGCCUUGCACGGAUGAACGGGGACCUUAUCCUGACACUCCAGGAGAAAAAGAGAAUCUAGCUGCAGUGGAAGAAGGGAUGGGCAACUAGAGGAAAGUACAGACAAGUUGUUAGGAUGUGCAGGGAGAAAAUCGGAAAGGCGAAAGCCCAGCUUGAACUCAGCUUGGCUUCUGCAGUCAAAGAGAACAAAAACCUUUUCCGUAAAUGUAUUAACAGUAAGAGGAGGGCUAAGGAGAAUCUCCAUCCUUAAUUGGAUGGGGUGAGGAAUGUGACUGCUAAGGCCUGGAGGGGUUCAAGAAACGUCUAGACGUUGUACUGAAGGACGUGGUUUAGUGGGAACUAUUGGUGAUAGGUGGAUGGUUGGACUGGAUGAUCUAAGAGGUCUUUUCCAACCUUGGUGAUUCACUAAUCCUAUGAAAAGCAAUCUGUUGAGAUUUUCAGUGAUCCCCGAUCUCUGCUGGCAGUAUACGCAGUCGGGCUGCUCUGUUUUAAUGCUUCCAGAGCCUCGAUGUACACGUCCCCAGGUUACACUGUGAGCAGUGCAUAACCUGCAAAUGGAACAAUUAUAUUUCUCCAUUUCUGUUCAACUCAAUGAGAUUGAUUUUGUUUAAAGAUCCCUGGCUAUUUUUGUUACUUGAAAGUAGGUCAGCCCAUCUUCUCCUGAUAGUUAAAAUUGCUAAAAUAGGACAUGCAGCUCUGAAAUCGUUAUCCUCUUCAUGUGUCAUUCAGCGAGCAAAAUCUCCAUCUUAAUACUCCCGUGAAAGCCUUCCUAAAAUCAGAAACUGUUCCUGAUGCGAGAGACUAAAAUUAAUUUCAGAUGAAAACAUACAUAAUACUUCCAUGAUUAAGAAGAGGACAAAUCAAGACAAAAAUAACUUCUACUGUGGCUUGAAUCUCUACUUCCUUUGCUGUGGCUGAUCACGAUCUGUAGGCUCUGACUCACUCUCUAGAGCUCAAUUUCACUUGCGUGGAUAGAACGGAACAGUACAAGCUCUUCCAAGGUUAAUUCUGUACGCUUGUGUCUAUCUUUAAUAUCAGAGUUAUGCCUUGUCUUUCUAUUUUCAGUUUUGUCCUACUAAACUUGUUAUUUCCUGCAAAACCUACUCAGCAGCAUUUAAUGGCAAACUUUGGCUGUGUAUUCUUCAGCCCUAACUGACGAAAUAACAUGUCCAAGUAGAAAUAAAGGAGGACUUAAUUUAUACUCUGACUCAGGGUUAACUGCUGAAAUCUGUGCUUUUAGACAGAAACUGUAAGUGCAUGGACUCAUAGUGUUGCAGUGGAGUUGUGAAAAAAAGGUCAGAGGACAGUUGAGGUUGGAAGGGAUCUUUCAGAAGACACCUGGUCUGAUCCACCCGCUCAAUCAACCUAAAGCAAUUUUGGUUUGUUUGUUUGUUUGUUUGAAAGUCAUUUGGACUGCAAACUGCUGGUUAAGGACUGUGAGCACUCACAAGUAAAUUAUUCACAUUUUCUCUUAAAUGUGAAUUGGCACUGAGAAGAAGUGUUCGCUUUUGAAAAUUUCUUCCUAGACAUUAGCCAAGCUGAACCUGAAAGGCUAAACUAGAACGUGAAAAAGUACAGUAUGGAGUGAAAAAAAACAGUCAUCUGGCAACCAAGCGUAGAGUAUAACAAAUCUAUGGCUCUUACUUCUUCUGGAUUCCAAUGCUGGCUAAAGUUCCCCAUGGAACUGCAGUGAAAAGUGUAAAUUACGGAGCAACAUCUCUUAACGCUUCUUGCAAAACAGUUUGAGAAAUCCAGGAAACUGAAAAAUCUGACAAAUGUGGUUCUAAAUGAUCUUGCGAGAUAGAGGAAUUGGAGCAAUAUUUAGAGAAAGGAACAGACCUUCCUUUAGUCUGCUAAAAAGGGUUAAAUUGGACAGAGUUGUAGGCACUACCCUGCUGAAGCAAGCUGACUGAGUGACUGAGAAAGGAGUUGGUUUACCUCUCUCUUGAGACUGUCUUCUAAAUAAUCUUAAAUCAUACAGACUGCACAGGCUUAUUUACAGUAUGUCUGGGUAGCCAGACAAUGACCAUAAUGUUGCUAAUUAUAAGUAAGCAAUUUGGUUCCUUGACAACUUCAGUACUGCUCUUUCACCGAAUAACAUUUAAUUGCCAGGGAAACUGGAUUUAUGCUAUUUGGUCAAGGACUUGCCUUUCUGAGACAGAAGCAGUAAUUAUUGAACACUUAAUUGUGUAUUGCUGUAAACUUUUGCUUAAUUUUUAUUGGAAAAAUACCACGUGAGUAGAAAACUUCAGCCAACUUCAUGCGUCAUCUUUAUUUACAGCUUCAUAUGAAGUGCUGCAAGUGAAUGGCAAAAAAACCUCCACAUGAUGCGAUUCAUAACUAGCCCUACGAUCAACAACAGCUAAGAAAGAGCUUACUUAAGGAUGUGUGCUUUAGGAUGUCAAACGUGUUAAAAGGAAGAGGGAAGCUGAGUUAUUAUGGCAUUCCAAGGUUCAUACUAGAUUCUCAACCAGAAUUCUGAUUCCUUAUUUUGAAGUUCCACGUGAAGUUUCACAGCAAGUUUGUCAGGACCUACUGAACCAAGGCGAAGCUGAAGGUAGCAGUUUCCAGGAUUGCAUCAUUACCGGUGAUGAGAUGUGGCGUCAGCACGAUGAGCCAGAGUCUCAAACUGCAAGAGGCAACGCAUGAAUUCCCAAUCGAAGAAAAAGCUGCAUCCCUCAGCAGGUAAAGUGAUGUGCUCUGCCUUUCAGGAUUGGAAGGAGGUGAUCCUUCUGUAUUUCCUGGAAUCCGGACAAACCCUCAUCUCAGACCACUACAUCACAACGCUGACUAAACUGGAGGCUGAAACUUUCAGAGUCAGGCAGGAGAAGAAGAUAAUCUUUCUCUUGCAACAUGAGAACACCAGGCCUCAUACCAGUUUGAAGACAAAAGAAGUGUUUUUGCAGAAGGCACAGAGAUUUUGCUUGUAAAGACACAUUCUUUUGAUGUCAGGCCUCACAAGGAAUACACUUCAUAAACCCAUCAGUCGUUCUCGUCAUUUCUUAGGGUCUUCUGGCUUGGGGCCAAAAUUGAUGUGGUAGAGAGCUUCCAGCUACAAUAACAGCCUCUGCAUCUCUAUUUUCCCAUCCGUCAGAUUGUUGGUGGAAGAUAGGGCUAAUUUGUCACACCACCCACUUGUAAAAGCCUAAUUAGACUUUUUUUUUUUAAAUUAAGACAUCCUAUUUCUUGAGAACUCGAAGCUAGGAAAACAAUGGUAAGGACUGAAAUAGAAAAGCAAAAUAUUGCUUCUUCAGUAAAGAUCAGAGGAGACGUUAUGCAAGCAUGAGAAGUGGAAAGAGUACAGUCAGUUCAAAGGAGUUUCAAGGAAAAACAAAACAAAAAACAACAGACAAGUGUUCUGCAAGUAGUGGAGUUACCUGGAGAUUGCGUGCUGAUGGUGUCUCUGUAGAAACAUCAACCUGCAGAGUACCAAUUUAAAUAUGUUGCUCCCCAAAUCAGAAUGUAAUUAAGCCUGUGUAUUGAGACCUCAAAAACAAAUAACAUGGCACAAUGUGAAUUAGAAUGUCAUCUAAAUACACUACGUGUAUAUCUUUAAGUAUUUUCAAAACUUCUAGUAUGUCAUGCAUACUGGUGGGAACUGUGCCUUCCAGGACUCUCCUUGCAUUCUCUCAGCUUAGUGCCUACGCCAGUGAGGACGUUACUUCCAACCUCAUUCUUUAGUUUGAGGAAAACGGGAAAAGUCUGUGACUGUUUGCAAUUCUUUUUGUAAUGGGUGGAAGCCUGAGUAAAGCAAGAUCAUUGCUUUCGGAUGUCUCUGCACAGAACGCGCUAAAGUUUAAAAGAUAUUUCCAUUUUCUUCUUUUUGUGAGGUCACUUCGAGACUGAUGAAUAAAAAACUCAAAGAGAUUACAAUCAGUA